rnacentral:sRNA from 1 species
CAAAGAUCUACAAAUGAAAGAUAACCUUUGUGGAGUUUUGAUGAGGCCAUGAAAUGUCUGAAUGAACACUGGACCCUUUCCCUAGCAUGUCCCAGUAUCUAGGUCCUUGGCUGCAGAGAGAGGUUGAAUCUUUUGUGCUUGGUUAUUUCAGGCGGAAGUGUUUCGAGACACAGUCCACAUGCUGUUGGAGUGGCUUUCUGAAGCAGAGCAAACGCUUCGCUUUCGGGGAGCACUUCCUGAUGACACAGAGGCCCUGCAGUCUCUCAUUGACACCCAUAAGGAAUUCAUGAAGAAAGUAGAAGAAAAGCGAGUGGACGUUAACU